rnacentral:ncRNA from 2 species
UAAUAUCUUCAGGGCAGGGUUAAAUUCCCUACCGGUGGUUAUAGCCCACGAGCCGUAAGGCAUGAUUCGGUGUAAUUCCGAAGCCGACAGUAUAGUCUGGAUAAAAGAAGAUUAAC